rnacentral:rRNA from 1 species
CCUACGGGUGGCAGCAGUGAGGAAUAUUGGUCAAUGGACGAGAGUCUGAACCAGCCAAGUAGCGUGCAGGAUGACUGCCCUAUGGGUUGUAAACUUCUUUUAUACAGGAAUAAAACGAGGCACGUGUGCCUUUUUGCAUGUACUUUAUGAAUAAGGAUCGGCUAACUCCGUGCCAGCAGCCGCGGUAAUACGGAGGAUCCGGGCGUUAUCCGGAUUUAUUGGGUUUAAAGGGAGCGUAGAUGGGGUGUUAAGUCAGUUGUGAAAGGUUGCGGCUCAACCGUAAAAUUGCAAUUGAUACUGGCAGUCUUGAGUACAGUGGAGGUAGGCGGAAUUCGUGGUGUAGCGGUGAAAUGCUUAGAUAUCACGAAGAACCCCGAUUGCGAAGGCAGCUUACGAAACUGUGACUGACAUUGAUGCUCGAAAGUGUGGGUAUCAAACAGGAUUAGAUACCCCAGUAGUC